GUGGGGAAUCUUGCGCAAUGGGCGAAAGCCUGACGCAGCCAUGCCGCGUGAAUGAUGAAGGUCUUAGGAUUGUAAAAUUCUUUCACCGUGGACGAUAAUGACGGUACCCGGAGAAGAAGCCCCGGCUAACUUCGUGCCAGCAGCCGCGGUAAUACGAAGGGGGCUAGCGUUGCUCGGAAUUACUGGGCGUAAAGGGCGCGUAGGCGGACAGUUUAGUCAGAGGUGAAAGCCCAGGGCUCAACCUUGGAAUUGCCUUUGAUACUGGCUGUCUUGAGUACGGGAGAGGUGAGUGGAACUCCGAGUGUAGAGGUGAAAUUCGUAGAUAUUCGGAAGAACACCAGUGGCGAAGGCGACUCACUGGCCCGUUACUGACGCUGAGGCGCGAAAGCGUGGGGAGCAAACAGGAUUAGAAACCCUUGUAGUCC
rnacentral:rRNA from 1 species